rnacentral:snRNA from 1 species
GUGCUCACUUCGGCAGCACAUAUACUAAAAUUGGAACGAUACAGAGAAGAUUAGCGUGACCCUGUGCACGGAUGACACACAAAUUCGUAAAGUGUUCCAUAUUUAA